CAUAUGAUACUCUAGAUCCGGGUUUCUUGUGUUUCUGGUGAGGAGCAGCUCUGGCUACUUCCAGAUCAUGACCCUCCUGAUGGGUGCAAUGGGUAAGGGGGGAUGGGUACCGAUUGGGCAAAUGGCCUGGAGACUCAGACCAGGCUCUCUGGACAGAUGAGUCGAGCUGGUCCUCAAGAGCAAAAUGCCUAAAGGACACAUCUCUAUGACCAGUGAGGCCACACUUAAAGCCACACUGGACAUGCAGCAGUAUGCACCUGGUAACAAAAAGGGGAGCUCUAGCUUGGGGGAAAUGACUCUGCCAGGCAAGGCCUUCAAGACUUCUCUUCUGCAAGUCGUGAGGGAUUCACCAGUUAGUGGCGCAGGUGCAGCAGUGCUACAUCGAGGGUCCUACACUGUGUCUCCUGGGGCACACGCCCAGUGCUACUUCACAGCAGGCAGGUGUAUAGGUGAUGUGACAGUGAGGCUUCAGUGUCUGCUGAACACUACUCCUGGUGUACAGAACGCUGCAAGGAGACAGAGGAAAUGACAGACACAAGCCCUGUGCUAAGGACCAGGACAAAAUGACACACAGGCACAGUGCAGCUGAACUGUACAUGUUACUGCAAGCAACUCUACCGGACUGUCGAGUUCAAGAGCUUUGUGAGGUUAGGCUUAGGCUUAAAAUGAAAAGCUAAUUUUGAAGACACAUGAUUUAUAAAGAGGACAUAGACUAUCUGAGGUCAUAAAAAUGGCUCAUUUAUUUUGAAAAGAUGUUUAUUGAACAUUUGCCGUGGGCCACGCACUGUUCGUAGAGAACAGAACGAAUAUAUCUGCUUUCCUGGAAUUGAUAGUCUAGCAGACAAGUCAGAAGUUAAGUGAACAAUAGUAUUCUCACUAAUUGAAUAAAGACAAGAACAGGGCAUUGUGAACGAGAAGAACAGGAGGACCCUAACAAAAACUGUGAAAUCAGGGGCGGCCUCUCAGAGGAGGUGAUGGCUGUGCCCUUAAUGAGGCGUAGGGAUUAGCUAGAACAGGGAAGGCAGGAGAAGCAUUUCAAAUGGAGAGCAGCAUAUGGAAAAGUUCUGAGUUGGGAUAAAGUUGGUUCCUUUGAAAAGCUGGAAGAAGGCUGGCAUGGCUUAAGAAUAGAAAUUCAGAGAGUGGGAAGAGAUUUUUGAAUUGUAUCCUAAUUGUGAUAGAAAGUUAAGCAGGGAAGUGAUAGCAUCUAUGUUUUUAAUAUAUCACUCUGGCUGCUGUGGGGGAACCAGACUGGAGGGAGGGCGAGAAUGGAGGUGGCAAGUAUAGUGAGAAAGCUUCUGCAGGGGCAGGUGACAAGUGAUGGUGACAUGUCCUAAGACGGUGGCAGGGGACACAGAGCAUGGUGGCUGGAUUACAGGUAUAUCUUAGAGAUAGGAUUAGUAGGAUUUGACGAUGGACUGGAUGUGCGGGGAAGUAUCUAGAGUGACACACAGAUGUUUUACCUUGAGCAACUCAGGGAGUAGAGGCGUUAUUUACUAAGUCGGGGAGGAAUGGCAGAGGUGCAGAUUUCGGGUAGGAGUUGUAACAGAGAUCAAGAGUUCAGGUUUGGCUACCUCAAGCUGGGGAUGUCUUUCAGGUGGCUACGUGGAAACUGUGCAGAGACACACACACCCCUAGACCGGACUUGGCCGUGUAUCACAGACCGGAGUUGGCCGUGUAUCACUUCCUGCCACUGGCAUGGAAGAAAUUAUGCAGGAGAAGUACAGAAUGAGAAGGAAAAUGUCCUGAUGAACUAUAUUUUGAGGUUGGCUGAGAAAAGCCAGGGGCCCUUCCUCCCUGAAGGAUGAAGACUUGCAGCAGGCUGUUCAAGGCUGCAGGAGCAGGAUUUGCCAGGGCCAAAUGAGAAAAAAAAAACAGGUGCCGCAAAGUAUUCACCAGCCUGGAUUCUACAAAAUCACCUGAGAAUUGCCAAGUUACUGAGUUCGAGUUCAAACUAUCUUCCAGAAAGAGAACACAGUGUGCAGAAGCAUAUUGGAAAUCGGUCCUCACAUUUCUUCCCUAGGAAUGAGCUUUCUCCAGCAUUGAGCUUUUAUGCUUAAAGAGAAAAGUGCAAAGUCUUUGGGAGGAAAAAAGAAACAAAACGACCUGUCAAAAUUUCUUUUAGCGCCUAUGACUAGUGUUAACUUACAUGCUCUCAGAGUGCAAUAAAAAGCCUCCAAACUGCUGCUAAAAAGAUGAUUUGACCUUUUAAAAUGGGAACUCCCCCACCCCAUGCCCAUAUUAAACAGAUGAACCUUGGGAGCUCUAGAGUUUUAGAUUAAUAAAUGAAAUGAGGUUGAAUUCCAGAAAAAGGGUUUCCCUACAGGCUGUGGGAUAAUUAGGGUGUUCUAGACCUACAUUGUAACAGCAGGUAGAAUGCAGGCCCCAAACCUUUUAGCCAUUUUAGUUGCCAACUACUCAGAGUCUGGUUCUGAAAGGAGGCGGGCAGGGAGUUAUGAAAAUUUAGCAAAUGAAACAGUCCCAGACGCGACUGCCCACCGCAGCCUGCGGUUCGGGGACAGGCUGUCGGCCCCUGACGGCCAAGGAACCGCGGCGAUCCUGGGUCUCCGCCGCAGCCGCGAAACCAGGCGCGCACCAACGGCGCUGCUGAAAGAAGUUGGAGAGCUCCCAGGUCGCCAACAAGAUUCGGCGGUGGGCGCCGGGGAAUCCCUUCCAGCGCCGCAAUUAGGAAACUUUUGAAAAGUAAAGACCCCAGACAAAAGACCCAUCCCUUCCUUGAGCAUAAGAAACACCCCGCGCCACGCCAGCUGGAGACUGCUCGCACAAGGCCAUCCGCCCUGCUUGGCCGGGACGCGCCCGGUGCCUUCCAGCUCCUAGCAGAACUGGUCCAAGGGGGCGCGGAGCCAGAGAGGCAGGUCUGCCGGGGUUGCGGCUCCAGACAGAAAUGCCUCCGGCCUCCCUGGCCUGGGGGACAAGGGCUUGGAUUCAACAGUCGAGGGGGCAAGGGCUGAACCACCAACUCCAGCUCAGACGCCCGGGACCUACUCUUCCAAGCCCGCUCCAGUUUCUCCAAAGGACGCGCGGCACAGCCCAUGCGCCCCCGGCACUCCACUCCACUCCUCUACGGUUCCCCCCAAACUCUUC